UAGCUAGUUGGUAGGGUAAAGACCUACCAAGGCGACGAUCGGUAGCUGGUCUGAGAGGAUGGCCAGCCACACUGGAACUGAGACACGGUCCAGACUCCUACGGGAGGCAGCAGUGGGGAAUAUUGGACAAUGGGGGCAACCCUGAUCCAGCAAUGCCGCGUGUGUGAAGAAGGCCUGAGGGUUGUAAAGCACUUUCAGUGGGGAGGAGGUUACUUAGGUUAAGAGCUAGAGUAAUGGACGUUACCCACAGAAGAAGCACCGGCUAACUCCGUGCCAGCAGCCGCGGUAAUACGGAGGGUGCGAGCGUUAAUCGGAAUUACUGGGCGUAAAGAGUGCGUAGGUGGUUAAUUAAGUUAUCUGUGAAAUCCCUGGGCUCAACCUGGGCAGGUCAGAUAAUACUGGUUAACUCGAGUAUGGGAGAGGGUAGUGGAAUUUCCGGUGUAGCGGUGAAAUGCGUAGAGAUCGGAAGGAACACCAGUGGCGAAGGCGGCUACCUGGCCUAAUACUGACACUGAGGCACGAAAGCGUGGGGAGCAAACAGGAUUAGAUACCCUGGUAGUCCACGCCGUAAACGAUGUCAACUAGCUGUUGGUUAUAUGAAUAUAAUUAGUGGCGA
rnacentral:rRNA from 1 species